AUGGCCCUGAAUCAAGGCUGGCAGCUUUCUGAAGCUGUUGGUUUCAAUCAGGAGGCAAAGUGGUAUCUUUCUAUGAUCUCACUUGCCACUUGAGAACUUUAGAAACGUAAUGGUCAAUUCAUCAGAAAGAAACAACA
ensembl:snoRNA small nucleolar RNA SNORA2/SNORA34 family